AAAAUUUUGAAAUUAUACUUAUACUCGACCAACAGAAGCUACAGAGACUUGCAUGGAGUUUAACAAGUUUACAGAGGAUGACAGAAGAUUCUAGUCAACAGAGAACAGUGCUUCAGGACAAACAGACAGAGCGUGGCCCACCACCUCUCACCUUUGUUCCCCCACGCGUUUUUAGAGAUAACAAAAUCUCUUCCCUCCUUCCCCACCACUCGAUCUCACCCUAUCCUUUCCCACCGACAUCAUCUCUCUUCCUCUCCAAACGCUCAACCUCGAAGACUCACUCUCACUCACGUCUCUCACUCGACCAAACUUCACUCACCAUCUCUCUUCCUCACCAAACACUCGACCACUCCAUUACACUCGACCACACCGCUCACUCGAUCCCACACCUCCGGCUUCUCCAUCUCUCACGGCUUCGUCUCCCUUCCCACUCGACCACGACACAGCCGCUGCCGCUUGCGCCACCGCCUUCAUUCUUUCUUUCACUCGACCGGUUUCGCCAUCUCUCAUCACUCUUGACCUUGUCGUUCACUCGACAACUCCGCCUUUCACUUCGCUGGAAGCUUCACCGUCUCAACGUCUUCUCCAUCUUCACUCGAUUGCAACGACGCUCCUCUCCAAUCAACGCAUACUCGAUCGCCGGACUUUCGCCAUCUCCCUGUCACCUGUGUUCACUCGACCUCACCGUUCCAGCUUCACCAUUUCUCACCGCUCGUGUCUCCUCUUCACUCAACCGCUACACGACCAAUUCUCCCUUCUCGCCAUUCGUCGUUCAUCCGCCAGAGCUUCUCUCUCAUUCUCACGAACACUCGACCGCUCAUCUCUCCACCGGAGUUCGAAGACUCUCAAUCAUCUAUGCUUACUCGACCUCAAGCCGAUUCACUCGGGUGAAGCUUAGCUCGACCGCUCUUCAACCCGCCACUAUUUCUCGGAGAAGUUUACCUGACCUCGCCGCACGCACCGCAAACACUCGACCACAGUCCUUCUAGGAACAAAAGACCGAAGCCACAAUUUCACUGUACUCGACCGUAUUACUCGACUGCGUACUUGACCGGUUUAGUGUUUGCGUUUUAUUUAGACUAACAUAUUGAUAUUUGGCUUUGAGUUACAUUCUUUUUCAGGAA
rnacentral:sRNA from 1 species